rnacentral:RNase_P_RNA from 11 species
GAAAGAAAGAAAGAAAGAAAGAAGAAAAGACGAAAUGGAGAAAUAAAGUACUGCUUGGAAUGGUUUUGUUUGUUUACCUUGAUGUCCCUGCUUGGCCUUCUACUUCCUUUCUCAUCCCACAAAGCGUUUGGAAGAAAGGAAGGAAACAUGCAUACGCAUGCUGUGAGGCUCCGAUCACGAGUUCAAUGUACAGAGAAAGACCAACAAACA